CGCGUAGGCGGUUUUGUCGGUCAGAUGUGAAAGCCCGGGGCUCAACCCCGGACGUGCAUUUGAAACAGCAAGACUUGAGUACGGGAGAGGAAAGCGGAAUUCCUGGUGUAGAGGUGAAAUUCGUAGAUAUCAGGAGGAACACCGAUGGCGAAGGCAGCUUUCUGGACCGAUACUGACGCUGAGGCGCGAAGGCGUGGGUAGCGAACA
rnacentral:rRNA from 1 species